UACGUAGGGUGCAAGCGUUAAUCGGAAUUACUGGGCGUAAAGCGUGCGCAGGCGGUGAUGUAAGACAGAUGUGAAAUCCCCGGGCUCAACCUGGGAACUGCAUCUGUGACUGUAUAGCUAGAGUACGGUAGAGGGGGAUGGAAUUCCGCGUGUAGCAGUGAAAUGCGUAGAUAUGCGGAGGAACACCGAUGGCGAAGGCAAUCCCCUGGACCUGUACUGACGCUCAUGCACGAAAGCGUGGGGAGCAAACAGG
rnacentral:rRNA from 1 species